rnacentral:sRNA from 1 species
UCUAAAAUAUUAUUUUGCAGUGGACCGUACAUUUAAAUCAAACAAAAUAAUAGCGUAUACAUAGAUCAUCCUAAAAAAAU